UACGGAGGAUCCAAGCGUUAUCCGGAUUCAUUGGGUUUAAAGGGUGCGUAGGCGGAAUGAUAAGUCAGUGGUGAAAUCCUGCAGCUUAACUGCAGAGCUGCCAUUGAUACUGUCAAUCUUGAGUGCAUUUGAUGUGGGCGGAAUGUGUCAUGUAGCGGUGAAAUGCUUAGAUAUGACACAGAACACCGAUUGCGAAGGCAGCUCACAAAACUGUAACUGACGCUGAGGCACGAAAGCGUGGGUAUCAAGCAGG
rnacentral:rRNA from 1 species